rnacentral:rRNA from 1 species
GACGAACGCUGGCGGCGUGCCUAAUACAUGCAAGUAGAACGCAGUUGCGAACGGGUGAGUAACGCGUAGGUAACUGCCCCAUAGCGGGGGGUAACUAUUGGAAACGAUAGCUAAUACCGCAUACUGUUAGAUGGACCUGCGUUGUAUUAGCUAGUUGGUGAGGUAAAGGCUCACCAAGGCGACUAUCCACAGCCGACCUGUGAGGGGGAUCGUGCACACUGGGACCGGGACACGGCCCAGACUCCUACGGGAGGCAGCAGGAGGGAAUUUUCGGCAAUGGGCGGAAGUCUGACCGAGCAACGCCGCGUGAGUGAAGAAGGUUUUCGGAUCGUAAAGAUCUGUUGUUAGAGAAGCGGUACCUAACUAGAAAGGGACGGCUAACUACGUGCCAGCAGCCGCGGUAAUAC